UUCCGUAGGGUGAACCUGCGGAGGGAUCAUUACCGAGUUUACAACUCCCAAACCCAAUGUGAACGUUACCAAACUGUUGCCUCGGCGGGAUCUCUGCCCCGGGUGCGUCGCAGCCCCGGACCAAGGCGCCCGCCGGAGGACCAACCAAAACUCUUAUUGUAUACCCCCUCGCGGGUUUUUUUAUAAUCUGAGCCUUCUCGGCGCCUCUCGUAGGCGUUUCGAAAAUGAAUCAAAACUUUCAACAACGGAUCUCUUGGUUCUGGCAUCGAUGAAGAACGCAGCGAAAUGCGAUAAGUAAUGUGAAUUGCAGAAUUCAGUGAAUCAUCGAAUCUUUGAACGCACAUUGCGCCCGCCAGUAUUCUGGCGGGCAUGCCUGUCCGAGCGUCAUUUCAACCCUCGAACCCCUCCGGGGGGUCGGCGUUGGGGAUCGGCCCUGCCUUGGCGGUGGCCGUCUCCGAAAUACAGUGGCGGUCUCGCCGCAGCCUCUCCUGCGCAGUAGUUUGCACACUCGCAUCGGGAGCGCGGCGCGUCCACAGCCGUUAAACACCCAACUUCUGAAAUGUGACCUCGGAUCAGGUAGAAAAGCCCAAAUC
rnacentral:rRNA from 1 species